GGUGGGCUGGCCGAGUGGUUGAAGGCAGCGGUCUUGAAAACCGCCGUACGGAAACGUACCCGGGGUUCGAAUCCCUGGCCCACCGCCA
rnacentral:tRNA from 1 species